UGGGGGAGUAUUGCACAAUGGGGAAAGACCCUGAUGCAGCAACGCCGCGUGAGGGAAGAAGGUUUUCGAUUGUAAACCUCUGUCCUAGGUGAAGAAAGAAAUGACGGUAGCCUGGGAGGAAGCUCCGGCUAACUACGUGCCAGCAGCCGCGGUAAUACGUAGGGAGCGAGCGUUGUCCGGAAUUACUGGGUGUAAAGGGUGCGUAGGCGGCCGUAUGGGUCAGGCGUGAAAUACAUGGGCUUAACUCAUGGACUGCGCUUGAAACUGUAUGGCUUGAGUGAAGUAGAGGCAGGCGGAAUUCCCGGUGUAGCGGUGAAAUGCGUAGAGAUCGGGAGGAACACCAGUGGCGAAGGCGGCCUGCUGGGCUUUAACUGACGCUGAGGCACGAAAGCAUGGGUAGCAAACAGGAUUAGAUACCC
rnacentral:rRNA from 1 species